CUUGGAUGGGCAUCUCUCUUGUAAUUGGGUUAAACCCUACCCGCCGCAUUGUUCGUUCUGGUGUUGGCUAUCUACUUUAUCGCAAUAUAAACCCAAAAUCGCAAAAAAAAAAGAGUUAAUUGUGUUCUAUGCAGGGAUUCGCCUGUAAUCUCACUCGGCUAGUUCCUCGAAUCGUUCCAAGGGGUUACAGCCGUCCAGCCGCCCCACCUCCCUCCGUGCGAGAAAACGUGCGCCGCCAGCCCGCCACCGUGCCCUUCUCCCCCAAAUCGCGAGCCGCCGGAGUGCGCCGCCGCCGCCGCGGUCUUUUUCCGGAUCCAGCGGGAUCCGCGCCGUUCUUCCCCAAAUCGCGAACCACUGCGGUGUGCCGCCGCCGCGUUCUUCCCAAAGCCGCGCCGUUCUUCCCGAAGCCGCUCCAGCGGAUGCCUAGGUUUAUUGCUGUGCUGCUUGCCGCUCCAGCCACUCCUCCGUGGUCGUUGGUGACGAGGUGAUGCACAUCUCAACGGAUCGGCCAACGCCUCCAGGUAUUUACCCCAUCUGUUGUGAUAAAGAGUGUAAUGUGAUUGCACAAUGGUGAAAGUACGCCGAGAUGGUGGCAUUCUAUAGGACAUCAAAGCCGAGGAGAUGUAAACCGUAGAUCUUGGAUUGCUCGCACGAAUUCGUCUGUUAGCUUUGUGAACAAUCCGUGAACAACCGGGAGUAACAGGUUGGUAGGUUUACACUAUUUGUGAACAACCUUCCUCUGUCACCGUACAUCAGAGGACGCGAACAGCACCAGGAGCAAGGAGCAAGCACACGUCUGUGAACAACCUUCCCUAGAAAACAUUGUUUGGAUACCGCAGAUUGUGGAAUUUUUCCGGUUAGCAUAUUUGUUAGAUGUGAUUCUGAAAUGUAUUUUGUCGUAUAUGGAAUGUUUGGUUCAUCUCGAGUCAGAAGAGAAAGAUAGAAUCUAAUUUUGUUUUUUUAGUUUU